AAACAGUCCAGCCAGCUGCAGUGCCCAUGGAGGGAUAGUGCCCGAGGGUGUCUAGGAGGUGAACGUCAGCCACCAAGACCGAAACGAAAACAUGAGGAAGGAAGUACCUGGAUCCCAGGACAAGCAGGGUGCUGCCAGGCACCUACCUGAUAUGAAAGUUCUGGACGUUGACAUUUUUGUAUGGGGCUGUCUUUCUCUGGCACCAGAGGAGGAGCCCUUCUUUGGCAGAAGUCUCUGCAAAGCACACAAUGACAGAAAGGUCUCUCUCACGCCAUGUGUCAGAGUGCAGUGCUGGGACAGCAGGCAGGCGUGCACCACCACGUCAGGUGAGGAUAAAACUGCUCCUUUACAGGAAGUCACAAAAACAACCCUGGAACUCUAUGUGUUCUGAAAGCAAGUCAGGGAAGAAAAUGCUGGUCUGUCACUCCAUCGGGAGAGGCCAGCCUGAGCUACAGAGGUAAGACUGUCUCAGAACAACAAUGAACCCGACCCUCCACCUCCUGUAGAGAUCAACAGAGGUGCUGUUCACUGCUCCAACAGCAGCACUUCAGAGUGUGCCCGCCUCAGCAGCCAGGCCCUUCUUUCUAGAGUUUGCCAAGUUGCUGGCUGUACCAUCCAACAAAUAAAGGAAACUGGCACAGUGGCACGGCUCUAUAUUCCUGGCACUUGGAAGGUGGAGGCAAGAGGAUCAAGAGCUCAAGGUCACCCCUGCUACACAGUGAGCGGUAAGACCAGCCUGAGCUGCAUGAGACCCCUGCAGACAAAAUGAACAAAGAAAAAAGUAAACACAAUGAAGACACAAGAAAAGAAGUUAGAAGUAUCUGCUUCUUAUACUGGAGGACUGGGGCUGUAGCGUGGUAGGAGAGUCCUUGCCCAGCACACAGGAGGCCCUGGGGGAGGGGGAGGAGCACAGCCCUUGGGAAGCUGAUUCAGGAGGAUCCAAGUUCUGGGCCAGAGAAAAACACGCAGAAAUUUAGAUCUUUCAAAUCCAGUAGUUUUCAGUGUGAGAAGCACUCAGGGAGCUCUUCUCCCUUUCUCCCCAGCUCAGGGUUAGUAAGACUAUGGAUACACUGUCAUUUGGAUGAAGGAGUUUUCUAGAUCACAGACUGUUCUUUCUCCCUCAUCCCUUUUUUCUUUCGGACAGGGCCUCACUAUGCACAUCUGGCUAGCCUGGAGUUUGUUGUGUAGCUCAGAUAGACAGGCCUCAAACAGAGUGCUGGCCUUCUGUAUUCUUCUUAAAAUAUAUGGUUUGCAGAGUCAGUGGGGAUGUAAUUCACAUAAUUUAAGAUUAAUCCUUAGCUGGGCAGGGUGGCACAUGCCUUUAAUCCCAGCAGGUGGACUUCUGUGCAUUUGAGGCUAGCCUAGUCUACAGAGUGAGUUCCAGGAUAGCUAGCUGUUAUACAGAGAAAGCCUG